GGAAUAUUGCGCAAUGGGCGAAAGCCUGACGCAGCGACGCCGCGUGGGGGAUGAAGGUCUUCGGAUUGUAAACCCCUUUCGGGAGGGAAGAUGGAGCUAGCAAUCGUUCGGACGGUCCCUCCAGAAGCAGCCACGGCUAACUUCGUCCCAGCAGCCGCGGUACUACGAAGGUGGCAAGCGUUGUUCGGAUUUACUGGGCGUACAGGGAGCGUAGGCGGUUCGGUAAGCCCUCUGUGAAAUCUCCAGGCUUAACCUGGAACAGUCGGAGGGGACUGCCGGGCUAGAGGACGGGAGAGGAGCGCGGAAUUCCCGGUGUAGCGGUGAAAUGCGUAGAGAUCGGGAGGAAGGCCGGUGGCGAAGGCGGCGCUCUGGAACGUUUCUGACGCUGAGGCUCGAAAGCGUGGGGAGCAA
rnacentral:rRNA from 1 species